rnacentral:lncRNA from 1 species
UGCAACUGCAUGACCAGCGGGGUCGCACACCACAAGACUGGGCUGAGCAGGGUGGGGCCAAGCAGAACUGGGAGGUGAGCAGUAGCCCUGGUGGGAGUGAGGCAUCAGGGCCGGCACCCAUCAGGCCUCACCCUACGUGCCCUCCUCCAGUUGCUGGAGUUGUUGCAGCUCUGCCGGGCCCACAUAUCAGCGUUCGUGCAUGACGGUGAGUUGCCACCCAUGGCAUCUCUGGACCGGUUGCAGGCCAGAUUUGGGAACAGCCCGCCUGGCUCCCUGUCCUCCCUGAGGCUGAUGCAGGCAGACAGGACGCUGAGGCUAGCACAGAUCAGGAGAGCCUCCCAAGUCCCGGCCUUGGGGUUUGGUCAGCCUCCUGUGGAUGGGUCACAAAAUGACUGUGCAGCAGCCGAAGGCCCCUGGAACCCAGACAGAUGUGCUACUGGCUGACCUUCAGCACUGCAGGUGCAGAUUGCCUGCCCUGGCACGUGGUGG